rnacentral:rRNA from 1 species
UACGUAGGGUGCAAGCGUUGUCCGGAAUUAUUGGGCGUAAAGAGCUCGUAGGCGGUUUGUCGCGUCUGCUGUGAAAACGCGGGGCUCAACUCCGCGCCUGCAGUGGGUACGGGCAGACUAGAGUGCAGUAGGGGAGACUGGAAUUCCUGGUGUAGCGGUGGAAUGCGCAGAUAUCAGGAGGAAUACCGGUGGCGAAGGCGGGUCUCUGGGCUGUAACUGACGCUGGAGGCGCGAAAAGCGUGGGGGAGCAAACAGG